rnacentral:rRNA from 1 species
ACGAACGCUGGCGGCGUGCUUAACACCUGCAAGUCGAACGCUGAAGCUUGGUGCUUGCACUGGGUGGAUGAGUGGCGAACGGGUGAGUAAUACGUGAGUAACCUGCCCUUGACUCUGGGAUAAGCCUGGGAAACUGGGUCCAAUACUGGAUACGACAUGUCACCGCAUGGUGGUGUGUGGAAAGGGUUUUACUGGUUUUGGAUGGGCUCACGGCCUAUCAGCUUGUUGGUGGGGUAAUGGCUCACCAAGGCGACGACGGGUAGCCGGCCUGAGAGGGUGACCGGCCACACUGGGACUGAGACACGGCCCAGACUCCUACGGGAGGCAGCAGUGGGGAAUAUUGCACAAUGGGCGGAAGCCUGAUGCAGCGACGCCGCGUGAGGGAUGACGGCCUUCGGGUUGUAAACCUCUUUCAGCACGGAAGAAGCGAAAGUGACGGUACGUGCAGAAGAAGCGCCGGCUAACUACGUG